rnacentral:rRNA from 1 species
UACGUAGGGUGCAAGCGUUAAUCGGAAUUACUGGGCGUAAAGGGUGCGUAGGCGGGUCUUUAAGUCAGGGGUGAAAUCCCGGGGCUCAACCUCGGAACUGCCUUUGAUACAGCAAGUCUUGAGUUCGAGAGAGGUGGGUGGAAUUCCUAGUGUAGAGGUGAAAUUCGUAGAUAUUAGGAAGAACACCGGUGGCGAAGGCGGCCCACUGGCUCGAUACUGACGCUGAGGUGCGAAAGCGUGGGGAGCAAACAGG